ACAAUGACAUAAAGUCAAAUUUUUUUUUAUCUUACGUUACAAUUUUGCGAAGGUUACAUGUUUGGAUCUUAUGGUGCACUGGGAUUGAAAGUAUGGAGCGAACCAUUUACGUCUGGCCACGGUAGAUUUUCAUGGCUUUUCUUCACAAGGGACAUCAGGCCUAGUCAUACCCCAACAAGAAGUCCUCUUGAAGAACUUGGGACGAUCAACUGGUCCGACUCACGGUUUACAUGGUAAAUUCCGACCGUAGAGCCAGUUGCAAAAGAAAAAAAAGUUGGUGCCAUCGCAAAUGAGAACGGGGUAACAUAAAACGAUGAUUACAAAAACAACGGGAAUUUUCCGGGAAUUCCUGCUAAAAUGGCAAAGAGUAUCCUCUGACAGCAUUUGAUUUAUAGUGGUGUAAACAGCUUCUGUCUUUAUAUUCAUCAUUUCCCAGGCGA